rnacentral:lncRNA from 1 species
CAUGUGGAUUGAUGUGAACAUCCAAAUACGACCUCAAGUGCGGCGUGGUGCCGUCAGAAGUCCUCCCGAAAAAUUCACGGGCAAGUUGAUGAAUCUCAGUUGACUAGGGACAGAUCAAAUAGCUAGCCAUUCAAAAAAAUAACUAGUUCGUAUAAUGUUUUAGAAAUAAUUUUUUAUAGCUCACAUAACUCUUCACCUGUAAUCUUUUUUAUUAUUUCAAAGCUAUAUGAAAGUUGUCACUGGGAUGCCCCG